ensembl:lncRNA
AAGAAGCUUCAGCUGAGAGCUUCAUGCAGUCAUCAUCAGCAGCUCAUAGCAGUCACAGCUCUUUAUUACGCAGCUUUGCAGGAAUUAAAGUGGCUGAAGUGUCAGAGUUUGUGUGAGAAGCUGCUUCAUGGACAGCUGUACACACGUCUUUAUUAUUUCUUCAUAAAUCAAACACACAGGUUUGUCUGCAGAUGAUUUAAAGUGUGUCGUUGUGCAGUUAAAGCUGUUGGUGUGACGCCCUGACCUCCUGUGAAUGAAACAGCCAAUCAGAUCCAUCAGAGAGAGAGCAGGAAGUGUUGUGUGUUUGUGACAGAACAAGGAAACAGUGAUGAUGAUGAACAUAAAGAUCCUCUGAUGACGUGCUUGUGUUUCCUGUUACAGUAACGCUUGUUCAUCUGUUGCUCUCCUACACUUUCCUAUUGUUGAGAUUAUUCUGUUAUCAUAUGUUACCUUAUAUAUGUAAUCAAAUAGUUGAAUUAUGAUACUGCUGUAGAUCAUAUUAUACCCUUUAAUAUAGAGUGUGUGAUCAGUAUGUAGUUUAGUCCUCAUUAUACUUUUGAGUUAAAAGAACAUAAUCAUUUUGUAGUUCAUUAGAUAAGUGUGCAUCACUCUGUAUCCUUGAUCGGCUGUGAAUGUCUUAUACUGUUUUCUUGACAUGCUUUACUGCUGAAUCAUCAAGAGAAGGUUGUAAGCAGGAGACUUGGUGUCUAGGGAGAUAGACAACAUUCCACACCCCCACCUUUGCAGGGAGCAGAGAAGACAGGGAGCCGAGGUCAUAAUUUAGGCGCCGUAAGAGAGAAAGAAUGUGAAUGUUUAGGCUUUUACGACUAGGUGGGGGCCACUAGAGAGUAUAAAAAGCUGAGUAACCCGUCACCAUUUUGAGACAUGCUGCUGACCCUCUGCAGGCAUCUCUCCCGUCCGGACGUUGUAAUGCUCUUAUGUGUUGAAUUGUAUGGAAAUAAAUGAUUGUUGAUUGAGCAUUUAUACACCGAGUAUUGUCCUUCCUUCAGCCCAAAGAUUCAAAGAAUUGGGAUUUUUAACACUAUAAAUAAAGGAGAAAAA